GACGAACGCUGGCGGCGUGCCUAAUACAUGCAAGUAGAACGCACAGUUUAUACCGUAGCUUGCUACACCAUAGACUGUGAGUUGCGAACGGGUGAGUAACACGUAGGUAACCUGCCUGGUAGCGGGGGAUAACUAUUGGAAACGAUAGCUAAUACCGCAUAAUAUUAAUUAUUGCAUGAUAAUUAAUUGAAAGGUGCAAUUGCACCACUACCAGAUGGACCUGCGUUGUAUUAGCUAGUAGGUGAGGUAACGGCUCACCUAGGCGACGAUACAUAGCCGACCUGAGAGGGUGAUCGGCCACACUGGGACUGAGACACGGCCCAGACUCCUACGGGAGGCAGCAGUAGGGAAUCUUCGGCAAUGGACGAAAGUCUGACCGAGCAACGCCGCGUGAGUGAAGAAGGUUUUCGGAUCGUAAAGCUCUGUUGUAAGAGAAGAACGGGUGUGAGAGUGGAAAGUUCACACUGUGACGGUAUCUUACCGGAAAGGGACGGCUAACUACGUG
rnacentral:rRNA from 1 species